GACUCUCGGCAAUGGAUAUCUCGGCUCUUGCAUCGAUGAAGAACGUAGCGAAAUGCGAUACUUGGUGUGAAUUGCAGAAUCCCGUGAACCAUCGAGUCUUUGAACGCAAGUUGCGCCCGAAGCCAUUAGGUUGAGGGCACGCCUGCCUGGGUGUCACAC
rnacentral:rRNA from 3 species